rnacentral:tRNA from 1 species
GCCGGUUUGGCUCAGAGGAUAGAGUGUCAGCCUGGGGACUGUAGGGUCUUGGGUUUGAUUCCAAGAAAGGGCA